rnacentral:lncRNA from 1 species
CCGUUUUGCGAUUGGUUAAUUUAUUUCUGUCCGUUUCGCGAAUGAUUAAUUUAUUUCCAUCCGUUUCACGAAUGGUUAAAUUAUUUCUGUCCGUUUUACAAUUUAUUAAGAUUCGAGAUCAUCAUCGGACUAGCUAGUUCGUGGGCUUAUCAAAUGGCCCUAUGGUGAAGGGGUUUAGCAUCAGAAAAAUUCCUUGCUUCUUCCUCGCUUCUAGUUAAUCUCGUUUCUUCUUCUCCGUCGGU